GCGGAUUCACAGGGGAAAGAGUGUUUAUAAUUAUUCAGUGUUCGUUUUCGUGGAUUAUUUCUUUAUUUUAAUUUAAAAAUGAACGAUAAAAACAAGCAAACAAAUCGACAUCAAUUUUUGGCUCUCGUCGAGUUUAUGAAAAAAAAAUAAGGGCAUUGCAACGGGAGCACUCGUCGGUCCUGAAUAUCGGGCUAAAACAAAUGAACUGUGGGACAAUAUUUCAAAAGUUUUAAAUAGCCUAGGACCCCCUCGAAAAAAUGUUGAAAGCUGGAAGAAAGUAUGCAUACAUUUUGUUCUUUUAACCCUAUCAUGCUAUGA